rnacentral:rRNA from 1 species
AUACGGAGGGGGCUAGCGUUGUUCGGAAUUACUGGGCGUAAAGCGCGCGUAGGCGGCUCGCAUAGUUAGGCGUGAAAGGCCUGGGCUCAACCCAGGAACUGCGUUUAAUACUUGCGAGCUAGAGUUCGGGAGAGGGUAGUGGAAUUUCCAGUGUAGAGGUGAAAUUCGUAGAUAUUGGAAAGAACACCAGUGGCGAAGGCGACUACCUGGACCGAUACUGACGCUGAGGUACGAAAGCGUGGGGAGCAAACAGGAUUAGAAACCCCGGUAGUCC